UUAACUUGAAUAAAUCCUUUAUAUUUCCCUGAGCGAGGAGAGAAACCCGUUAGUUGACGGGACGAGGAUGGUCACUAUGACGUCACUCUGGGGUCAGAUGAAUGUGUCACAGAGAGAGAAAACCCAGUCAUCAGGAGGAGGGUUAGGGUUAGAGGAGAAAAGGAGAAGAGGAGGAUCAUAAGAGAGGAAGAUGAGGGUUAGAGGAGAUGAAGGGGAGAAAAAGAGAACGGGCCCAGCAGGUGGACAGUCAGUAAUCCCGUCACCCGCUGGCUGCAUCGUGAUGGAUCUGAGCCCACGUACAGUCGAAAUGAACCAACAUCACAUGGAGCUUCCUGGAAGUUUGUGAGAAGCUACACCUGGCCUGACUCUGUGUCUACCUGUGACACCUUUCUGGAGAGGGGAAUCGGCUGAGCUGCUGCUCUUCAGAGAAGCCAAAUCUGGCCCGGUCUGUUUAACUGUGUUUCUCUGCCAAUUUUCUCAAAUUUCUUUUUUAACGUAGAAAGUAGUUGUGGGCUUUUGUGCAUUUUGUGUCUUCUCAAACAUACAUUCAGGCUCUGCUUCUGCUGGAGGUUUACUUCCUAGUUGAAGGAAGGAAGUCCUCUCCAAUGUUGCUUCUUCAGGUGGAGUAAAUCUGUUUACCAACUGGCAACUUGACUGCAUUGUUUUAUAAGUACACAUGAACUGAUUGUAUGUAAAUAACUUCAAACCUUUCUAUAUGAUUUGAUUGAACUCACUAUACGUAUAAGUAUAAGUAAAUAAGCUGAAUUGAACUGGAAAUUGAAUUUAAUUGCUUAACGUUUUUUUUCUACAGGUAGCAAAUGUCUAGUUAAGGUUCUGCUUUGUAGAAGUAAAGUUGUCUAGAAAUAAAAAGUUAUAUGAGGAGUCCAGGAGUUUUGUUGCAGCUGUGACCGUUCAGAGUUUAAAGGGACAGCUCAGUUUAAGGUCACGAUCAGUUUGUCACUGUUAGGAGAUGGUGCUCUGAGCAUGCUCAGAAACACUGUGCGUUUCUGUGACGGUGUGAUCCUCGUGAUAGGCAGCGUGCAGAGUGUCUGACUGAGCUGCAUGAAUAAACUCAGUUGUUCUGCUAAAUGUGACCUCAGCCUGCUUCUUCUCUUCUCUUCUUAUCUGUUUGGGAUCUUUCUGUGUGAAACAAAAACACCAUCAUCCUGUUUUGUGAUUGGUUUAUCUGUUAACCUACAGCUGAACUUCAGUAAAUCCAGAAUGAAAACAUGUUAACGCGAGCACGCUCACCUGAAAACAGAACAUUUGACUACUAUGAGAACCUGGUUCCUGCCUAGGGGGUUAUGGUUCUCUUUGGUGGAGCACAGUAUGUGCCUGUUCACUCUGUGCAGAGGGACACUGCAGGUUGAGAACCUGUACACUGACUCUCAGAUCUUAAAUUUCAGCAUAAAUUAUUGUCAGUGGGCUUUUAGAUAAACAGCUGAGGAUGAUCUCCAACACCUGCCUCAGCUUCACCUGCA